ensembl:misc_RNA Metazoa_SRP Metazoan signal recognition particle RNA
GCCGGGUGUAGUGGCGGGCACCUGUAGUCCUAGCUACUCCGGAGGCUGAGGCACGAGAAUGGCGUGAACCCGGGAAGCGGAGCUUGCAGUGAGCCGAGAUCGUGCCACUGCACUCCAGCCUGGGUGACGUCUCAAAAAAAAAAAAAAGAAUUUCUAUAUCUGGAAAGCUAAGUAUGUUGUCAUCUUUUGUGGCCCUGCCUAGGUAAUUAUCUUAUUUUCUUAUGCUGAAAUUUCUAGUUUUGGCUUACUUGAAUUGAAUUUUUUUAUUUUACUAUUAUUUUCUUUGAGGUGGAGUCUUGCUGUGUCACCCAGGCUGGAGUGCAGUGGCACGAUCUCGGCUCACUGCAACCUCCACCUCCUGGGUUCAAGCGAUUCUCCUGCCUCAG